AAAUUAUGCAAAAUAAAAAAAAUAUAUUUACAAAAAUGUUAACAUCAUUUUCAAAAUAGUGUUUAUCUACAACACCAGGUAUAUUCUGCAGAACCCCUGCAGUACAAUUCUUGGAUUUGUAGUUGAUUUUCCACUAAAGACAUACAAGUAUAUGCUACUAUAACUACUACGCAAAAUAGAGGUAAGGUAAUAGUAAACUAAUCAAUCUUAUAAAUAUCGACUUAAUAAGCAUAUUUUCCAAUAAUUAUUAAAAAUUAUGUAAAUUUUCAAAUGAUCUUAAUAGUAUAUAGCAAAUAAAAUAUACUAUUAUGUACCUACGUGAAUUGUAUAAAUUGGCAUUAGUUUAUUGAACACAGAUUAGUCUAUUUUUAGGAUUUAUUUCUCAUUGGAUUUACAGUAAUUUUAAGACGUUCGGUUAGGCAAUGUAAUACUAUUAUAGUGUGCAACUUCAAAGCUCUAUUUAUAAUUUGUUUGUAGUUAGUGUUUCACGAUAGACUAUAUACUGUCCACGUGUUGCAUUAAAACACAUGCGCUGCUGUAUGGGGUCCUAUGUAAGAAUAAAAAAAAUUGUAUUGACGAAUUAAGGUCAAGGCAAAUAUAGCUUAGGCACAAUAUAAAUUAGAAUAAUUAUGUCAUGAUAGAACAUUAGUAAAUAUGGGAAGUAUACGAUUUCAAUAAUGAUAACAAUUUAAUAAUUAAAUAUUAGGUAUAUGGUUCACUGUAUAGAUUAGUGAUUUAUAUGUUUAAGUAGGCUCUUAUUAAUGUAUUGUACAAUUCUCACUUAAAAUGGCACGAAAGCGGAAUGUGUAUGGGUAGAAUAAUUAAGUUGACAUACACACGUAAUGGGUAUCGACCUAGGUAUCUAUACAGAGAAGAAGAUGACCAGCGACACUAUAAUACUAAAUACAUAUGGUAUUACAUAUGGUAACACUAAAUACUAUGGUCUAUGAUGAGUAUUAAGUUAUAUCGUUGUGUACAUGCAUGCAGUUGAGUACAACUAUAAUAUUAUACAUUAUUCAUUAUAUAGAUGAUGGCAAUCACUAUGUUACAAUCACUGCUUAGUGCUUAUGCCUUAUAUUAUAAUAUAUUAUAUGUAUUAUAUUUUGUAUUUUAAUUAUGCCUAUUGCUUACACAUUAACGUACAGGUCACAGAUGUAUAAAUAUAUAUAUACAUGUGUAAACGUCACUUAAAAUAUGUUUAUGCAAUUUGUUUGUUGUAUACCAUUGAAUAGUGCAAUAUCGAGAUGCGUAUUUUCACAUAGUGCAGUUGCCAAUUUCUAUACGCACACACGGCAGUGCAAUAGCUAUGCAUACAUAGACGAACCACGCUCAUAAACAAACAGUUAAUAAAUCAUUUAGUCACGUUCGAACAAUAUAUAGGUACGAAAAUAUUUACGUGCCUUGAUCUCUUCGUCCGGCGUUUCGUUUUUCACC